rnacentral:rRNA from 1 species
AAGUUGAUAAGUGUCGGCGUAAAGAGUGGUUAAGAUUUUUACCUUAAACUAAAGCCGAACGCCUUCAGAGCUGUUAUACGCAUCCGAAGGUAAGAAGCCCAAUCACGAAAGUGGCUUUACCACAUCUGACUCCACGAAAGCUACGGCACAAACUGGGAUUAGAUACCCCACUAUGCCUAGCCCUAAACAUUGAUAGUAAACUACCCCUACUAUCCGCCCGGGGACUACGAGCACCAGCUUGAAACCCAAAGGACUUGGCGGUGCUUUAGACCCACCUAGAGGAGCCUGUUCUAGAACCGAUUACCCCCGUUCAACCUCACCUUUCCUUGUCUCUCCCGCCUAUAUACCACCGUCGUCAGCUUACCCUGUGAAGGACCUAUAGUAAGCAAAAUUGGCACAGCCCAAAACGUCAGGUCGAGGUGUAGCGCAUGGAAAGGGAAGAAAUGGGCUACAUUCCAUAAUGAUAAGGAAUUACGAAUGAUCACACUGAAACACGUAUCUGAAGGAGGAUUUAGCAGUAAGCAGAAAAUAGAGCGUUCCGCUGAAACCGGCCCUAAAGCGCGCACACACCGCCCGUCACUCUCCCCAAGCUCCCGCCCUCCAAUAACUUAAAACCCUUCAAC